rnacentral:rRNA from 1 species
ACGUAGGGUGCGAGCGUUAAUCGGAAUUACUGGGCGUAAAGGGUGCGCAGGCGGCCCUGUAAGACCGGUGUGAAAUCCCCGGGCUCAACCUGGGAAUUGCGCUGGUGACUGCAGGGCUAGAGUACGGUAGAGGGGGGUGGAAUUCCUGGUGUAGCAGUGAAAUGCGUAGAGAUCAGGAGGAACACCGAUGGCGAAGGCAGCCCCCUGGGCCUGUACUGACGCUCAUGCACGAAAGCGUGGGGAGCAAACAG